GACGAACGCUGGCGGCGUGCCUAAUACAUGCAAGUAGAACGCUGAAGAGAGGAGCUUGCUCUUCUUGGAUGAGUUGCGAACGGGUGAGUAACGCGUAGGUAACCUGCCUUGUAGCGGGGGAUAACUAUUGGAAACGAUAGCUAAUACCGCAUAACAAUAGGUGACACAUGUCAUUUAUUUGAAAGGGGCAAUUGCUCCACUACAAGAUGGACCUGCGUUGUAUUAGCUAGUAGGUGAGGUAACGGCUCACCUAGGCGACGAUACAUAGCCGACCUGAGAGGGUGAACGGCCACACUGGGACUGAGACACGGCCCAGACUCCUACGGGAGGCAGCAGUAGGGAAUCUUCGGCAAUGGGGGCAACCCUGACCGAGCAACGCCGCGUGAGUGAAGAAGGUUUUCGGAUCGUAAAGCUCUGUUGUAAGUCAAGAACGAGUGUGAGAGUGGAAAGUUCACACUGUGACGGUAGCUUACCAGAAAGGGACGGCUAACUACGUG
rnacentral:rRNA from 1 species